GAGGGUGCCUGGCAGAGCAGCCCCAGGGUGGCUCUCUCAAAGCAAUACAGUUCUCCUGCUGGGGAACAGCAAGACAGGGGAGAGGGUUGGGUGGGGACCUGGGGUUCCCCAUGUACAGCUGUGUAUAUUCAGGGGUGUUCUCUGUCUGGUACCCGCUGUGGGCAUCUAUGUGUGUGUGAACCCCUUCCCCAUGCCCUGCAUGACCUGUGAUGCUGCAGACACCACCAUCCUGUGUGCAGGCGUGCUGGGGGGCACGGAGGGGCAUGUCCCUGUCCUGUUGCACCCCCCACCCUGUGACCCAUGUACUCGGUUGUAGGAAGUAAAGAGAACUGAGCACAAUUCACUGGAUUCUAGUUGAAUCUUUCUCUAAGCAAUUUCCUCAUUCCUGCCCUUCCUUCUCCCUAUCCUGGAUCCACCUGUGGUGCUAGUGUUGGGGUCAGGGGUGUUUAAUGCUGGUGGGCAGCAAUAAAGCCAGAUACCUGCAUCCCCAGGGUGCUGAGGGCAGCAGAAAAAAAAUGGGGACCUUGGUGCAUUUGCCCUGCCCCUCCCCCACCUGGGCUAAAGCACAAUGCUAUCCCUGAAGACUGAUGCACCCCACAUCCUCCAGGCCCCCACGCUUGUCCUCCCCAAACCUGCUUUGAGCCCUCCCACCACACCCCGGUUUUCUAUGCUGUUUUGGUGCAAGUACAACUGUCGUAGUCAUGGCUUUGGGAUGGGUUCUGUUUAUUAAAAUCCUAUUGCUCCU
rnacentral:lncRNA from 1 species